CCCGAGCGCAGCGGCCGCAGGUCUCGGAGUCCUGGAAGAGACACGUGUCCGUCAGCUGAAGAACCGAGACCGGAACCAGCACAUGUUCCAGGACCUGAUCUGCUUCUACACUCGGCUGCUGGAAAAAAACAGUCUGGCCAAAGGAAUAAUAAGCAGCUGCACCAGACGUCCCUCUGACAGCAGCAGCUCCGUCUCUUCUCUGCUCCAGCAGAACGACCAGUUGAAGAAAACCACAGGAGAGCUGGCGUAUCGG